rnacentral:rRNA from 1 species
UACGGAGGAUGCAAGCGUUAUCCGGAAUGAUCGGGCGUAAAGCGUCCGCAGGUGGCAAUGUAAGUCUGCUGUCAAAGCGUCUGGCUCAACCAGAUAAAGGCAGUGGAAACUACAUAGCUAGAGUAAGGUAGGGGUAGAGGGAAUUCCUGGUGUAGCGGUGAAAUGCGUAGAGAUCAGGAAGAACACCGGUGGCGAAAGCGCUCUGCUGGACCUUAACUGACACUGAGGGACGAAAGCUAGGGGAGCGAAUGGG